AUUGAACGCUGGCGGUAGGCCUAACACAUGCAAGUCGAACGGCAGCAGACCGUGACAAUCCCUUCGGGGUGCGUUUGGUGCUGGCGAGUGGCGGACGGGUGAGUAACACGUGAAUAAUCUGCCCUCGAGAUCGGGAUAACCUGAGGAAACUUAGGCUAAUACCGGAUAAGACCACAUUUCAUAUGGAAUGUGGGAAAAGGAGUCUCAAUCUUCACUCGAGGAUGAGUUCGCGGACCAUUAGCUUGUUGGUGAGAUAAAAGCUCACCAAGGCAACGAUGGUUAGCCGGCCUGAGAGGGCGAUCGGCCACACUGGAACUGAGACACGGUCCAGACUCCUACGGGAGGCAGCAGUGGGGAAUAUUGCGCAAUGGGCGAAAGCCUGACGCAGCAACACCGUGUGAGCGAUG
rnacentral:rRNA from 1 species